GCCAGGUUGCCCGAGCGGCCAAUGGGAGCGGACUGUAAAUCCGCCGCGUAAGCUUCGAAGGUUCGAAUCCUUCACCUGGCACCA
rnacentral:tRNA from 1 species